GUUUGCUGGUGGCUCUCCUCUUGAAUGAUCUGGAUACACAGACUCCUUCCAUUUUGUGAUCUGCUGUGACCUUGGGCUUCGGAGUCCUCUGCAUGUAGCUGAUAAAAACGAAAAGAAAGAGUGGAGAAUUCUGCCUCUUAAAAAUGCAGAGGAAUCCCGAAGACCAUGGAAGAUGUGUGUCUGUAUGUGUUUAGGAGGAAGGAAGGAAGGAAGGAUGCAGGCUACAGGGCAGAAGACAAAGACAUGGAAAAGGAAUUGAAAGAAAGCCUGGGCUUCCUUUAGAUACUCUGUCUGUAUGGAGCCAGAUUUUGGGACAACAAGAUCUCUACCUCUUCAUUGUCUGUGAGUGUUUUCGAUAAUAAUCAUUCUUCUUUAUGUUGGGGGCCAAAG